CUUUAAAAAAAAAGAAAAAAAAAGAAAAAAAAGAAAUAAAAUCAAUCUGAGUGCUAGCAGCUUCCACCUCUAAUCCCAAGACUGAGAACUAAAGGACUCCAGAGUUAAGAGGACUGUUCAGGAAGAUAAGCUCUGCCUGAAACU